rnacentral:rRNA from 1 species
GACGAACGCUGGCGGCGUGCCUAAUACAUGCCAGUCGAACGCACAGUUUAUACCGUAGCUUGCUACACCAUAGACUGUGAGUUGCGAACGGGUGAGUAACGCGUAGGUAACCUGCCUGGUAGCGGGGGAUAACUAUUGGAAACGAUAGCUAAUACCGCAUAAUAUUGAUUAUUGCGUGAUAAUUAAUUGAAAGGUGCAAUUGCACCACUACCAGAUGGACCUGCGUUGUAUUAGCUAGUAGGUGAGGUAACGGCUCACCUAGGCGACGAUACAUAGCCGACCUGAGAGGGUGAUCGGCCACACUGGGACUGAGACACGGCCCAGACUCCUACGGGAGGCAGCAGUAGGGAAUCUUCGGCAAUGGACGAAAGUCUGACCGAGCAACGCCGCGUGAGUGAAGAAGGGUUUCGGAUCGUAAAGCUCUGUUGUAAGAGAAGAACGGGUGUGAGAGUGGAAAGUUCACACUGUGACGGUAGCUUACCAGAAAGGGACGGCUAACUACGUG